rnacentral:rRNA from 1 species
UUGCUUGACUUAGGCUCCGGAGGAAGCCACGGCUAACUCUGUGCCAGCAGCCGCGGUAAUACAGAGGUGGCAAGCGUUGUUCGGAAUUAUUGGGCGUAAAGAGCACGUAGGCGGCCCUGUAAGUCGGUUGUGAAAUCCUUCUGCUCAACGGGAGAACGGCAUCCGAUACUGCAUGGCUCGAGUGCGGGAGGGGAGAGUGGAACUUCUGGU